CAAAUGUUUUAAUUUGGGCCCAGCUGAUGAGAAAAGCCCAUUUAUAACUAGGGUUUCACUCUCCUCAGUUAGUCAGUCCUAAAGCCUUCAUUUCCUCAUCUUCUUUCCUUUCUCCUCUCUCCUCCAAAAACCUUAACAUCCCCAAAUUUCCCACUCGAUGACAUCUUAUCAAUGGAUGUUCAGCUCUUACAAAACCCUAAAAUUCCAUCCCCAAAUCAACCAAAUUCCUCAAAUUCUCUCAAUGUCUUCCUCAGAGUUUUCCCCCUUCCAAUUGGUCCUUCCAAAACCUCUAAAUCGAAACAACCUAAUUCGAAAAAACCCAGUAAGAGUUGUCUUACAAUCAAUGAUGAUUCAUUCUAUUACGAUUAUUCCCCCGAUUUACGAUUCUAACAGGUUGAAAUUUGAAGUUUACAACGGAUUUUCGCAUGUUUUUUCUUCAAAUUCUUCUUAGGAUGAAGUGUAUGAUAAGCUCAUGAGACCGAUGGUUGAGGGAUUUAUGAGUGGAAAAGGUGGGAUUUUGGCUGCUUUAGGGCCUAGUGGUUCUUGGAAAACUAACACCGUUUUCGGAUCUGUCAAAGUACCCGGUUUGGUUCCUCGCUCUCUUCGCCACAUUUUUGAUGCUGAAGCUGGUAAAUCAUCUAUGAUGUCGAGUCUUUGCGGUCCUGUUGGUGAAUUGCUCUUGAAGAUUCGGUAGAUCGAAGCCUCUUCAUAAGGUCCUUGGUGGUGGUAAACGUAUGUUUCCUCAAUUUUUUAUUUUUCCCUCUUUUCUUUUAUUGAAAUGUUGUUUGUAUAUUCUGAAUUUGAUUGUUUCCUGUACAAUUUGUGCGAAUUGAUGAUUGUUUUUAGCUUGAUUAUUGUUUAUUAAUGGAGAUCGGGAGUGAUUUUGAUUGUAUUUGUUGCUUUUAUUGAUUGAUUUGUUUGUAUGAUGGUGUUAUUAUUACAGAUCUGAGUUUUGUUGCAGCCUCCUAAACCUCCUGAUGUGUUUUUAUUAAAAUUAUUGCUACUUAUUUCUAUCAAUUCACCCUCCUUUCAUAUUAUUAGCUAGAAAGCUAGGCAGCAACCAUAUAUUAUUACUUAGUUGCUUUAUACAUAAUAAUCAUCACUCCUCUUUGAUUUCAUUUGUACAUUUCAUUCAUCACUUUCACUUCCAACCAUGACUUGCUCUAAGGAUCAAAAGAUAACAACAAUGGUGUUGAAGGUUGAUCUUGAUUGUUGUCAAUGCUACAGGAAGGUUAAAAAAGUUCUAUGCAAAUUCCCUCAAAUACGAAACCAAGUGUUCGAUGAAAAGAAUAACACGGUGACCAUCACCGUGGUUUGCUGCAGUCCUGAGAAGAUCAGAGACAAGAUUUUCUGCAAAGAGGGCUAUUACAUGGUAUAUCUUAUUUUUGUUUGUCUAAUUUCUCAAUUAAUUGGUAAUAUAGUCUGAUGUUGUUGGACUAAUUGCUUUGCAGUAAUUUUAUUCUUCUUUUAUUCAAUUUUCUUUGUAAAUUUUGUGAUAUGUUUGUGUAAUUGUGUUGUUGGUAGGUGGAUCAUGGAUAGAGUCAUGGGUCCUUGGUUAGUAUUAUCUACAUAUGCCUGAGAUUUAGAGCGAAAAAGUGAUGAUCGCAGCUUUAUGAGAAUUUGUUUUGGUCUAAUACAAUAUAAAAGUCCUAAUUUUUAAUUUGAGGAUUAGUUGUCUAAUUGAUCAAGUAUUUCAGUUUCAGUUUAAGUUGGAUAUUUUAUUUCCAACCUUACUUCUUGAGUUUGUUGCAUUAAAAAUACGUAGCAUGAGCUUUUCCAUAAGGCACAAUGUGUCAAUGUCUAAUUAAUAUGGAUUAUAGAGGUCGUAGGCUUAUAAGGUCUUGGCCUAGUGAUAAAGGCUAAAAGCUUGUAGUUGUUCAGAUUAUAGAUAAUUUAUUAAUAGUUGUUGUCGCUGGCUACUUUUUUGGGGAGCUAUAUGUAGAGUGAGAGGGUGGGAGGUGGAGUUUUGGCUUCUACUUAAAUUUUUUUCAUACUUGAUGAAUAUUACACAUGUACAUUAGCAUUUAGCAGUAUAUGGAAUGCAGUACUCAAAUGUGUUAAGAGUCUCUUUUAAUGUUAUGAAGUACUCUCUGUAAAUCUUUUUUUUUUUUGACAAAAGCUUCAAACCUUUUGCUUGAGCUUUAAAAAAGUAUCAUAUCAUUAAAUUGGACUCAUAACGGGUUAUUUGUAACGGGCACUUGAAAUGUGCGUUACGAAUAACGGGUUAUUUGUAACGGACACUUGAAAUGUCCGUUACGAAUAACGGGUUAUUCGUAACUGGCACUUGAAAUAACCCAUUAUUCGUAACGGACACUGCCCGUUACGAAUAACACUGGCUAUCCGUAACGGUGGCAUACGUAACGCCCGAUGCCCGUUACGGAUAGGCCUUUUUUGCCCGUUACGGAUAGCUAUUUUUCCACUAGUGUGCCAUAAUCCAAUGUAAGUUUUUUAUUUAAAUUUGUUCGUUUUGGCGGAAUUUUGGCCUUUUUGAAUCAUUAAACCCCGAUUAUCGAAUUUAGGGGUUUUUUUAUUCAGACAAUUAUUCUUGAAAUUGUUUAUUCCAUGUUAUUAUGCUAUGUUUAAGGAGUGUUUUGCAAUAAAUUUCAUGAAACAUGGCUGAGUAUUGAGCCUUGUAUUAGCAUUUCUUCGUUUCAGUACGUUUUUUGCACUUUCCGUCAAAUUUCGUUUGUUUCUUGUUAUUUUGCUUGAUCAUUUUGACUAUACUUAUUAAUUAUGAAGUAAUUAUAGUAUUAAAACUAGUUAUAUCUUCAUAAACAAUGUUUUGAGAAUUUUGAAUCCGAAAAUUGGCGUGAAGUGUAUACUUAGCUUAUUUUUGCCAUGUUUGAACUUCAAGAUUGUUUGGUAGACGAUAAUUGCACCAUUGUUACUAUUAUUCGCCUAGGCAUAGUUGAUUCUUUGAGAUUAUUAAAUAUAAUCCCUUGAAUGCUUAGUUGAAACUGGUAUAAGAUGUCUUUUAUCGGUGUUUGAAGCCCCCAUUACUUAGUUUAACAGCAGGUAUCGUAGCCCCCUAGCAUGGGUGGUGUAGACACCCAAAUGUGUCUCCCCAAAACCAAACCCAGUGAUAAAUACCUUUCAUUUCAUUUGUUAUCUAGAAAAGCGAAAUUGUGAAAAGUCUAGUGAUGAGGAUGUUUUUAUUCAAAUAUCUUUUCUUUCUAUUUUUGAAAAUAUUUCUUU